UAGUUCACUCUAGAUCCAAAGAGGGUACUUUCGAUGUGCAAUUCUCCAUUUUUUGUCUCUCCAGGGUUUCCGCAUGACUUCACUUGCAGAACACUUCAAGA